UUCUAAGUCUACCUCUUUCGCGUUUCUCGCGAUUCACAUUAAAUAUUCGUGUCAAUAAAGGCUGGUGCGAUUCUCUGUGAAAUAAUAGUUUGAAGUCAUAUUUUAAAAUGUUGCUAAGCUGCUAUAGAGGGUGAUGCACGCGGAUGAUAGAGGCGCGACGGACGCGGCCGGCUCGGUCGCGGCGGCGGCGGCUACUGGCGGUCGUGUGUGAGUGCCGCCACGUCGCGCAUGCGCCGGUCGAUCGCCACUCGGUCACUGGGCCGAACCUACAAGACUCCUCCAACAAACAAACCUUUGUCCGAGCAGACCGCAAGGCGCCGGUUCCAGGAUCGCCUGUAUUUACACCUGUAGAGCUAAUGAGGACCCAUCGAAACCGAAUGCGUUCUCCGUCAUUCAGCUGCUGUGAAUCUUAUAAAGUUAUGAAGUUACUCUUGCCCAUUUUUUCUGCGAGGUAGUCGCCAGUCGCCAAGUAGGACAACUAUUGCACAACAGAAGUUUCAAAGUCAAGUCAUUCAUUCUUAUGGAUUCCAGAGACACCUCAAACCAAGUGACACGGAAAAUCAUCUGCCGAUUUUGGUUUAAACAAGAAAAAGCACAAACCAUAGACAAAGGUCCACUUAUUUAAAAUUUACCUACUACUAUGUAUAAUUAAGACUUAUCACUUAUUUUCUCACUUAUUAUUCUAAUGGCUAAUAUUCUUUGUAGAUAUGUAAUUUGUAAUAUAUGAUUCGAUAGUUCCUUCUCA